AUGGGUGGGCCAUGGGGACAGAGCAACGUGCAGCCAGUGGACCCGAGGCAGUGUCAGGUGGGACAUAGAUGCAAGAUCAAGUCACAUGGGUCAUAUGGCGUUAUUGCCAUUUGGAUUUUGGCUUCACUUUUUGUGUUUGUUUCUUCCCUAGUGUGUCUAAGUCACACUCCCAUGUGUGUGCUGGGACCUCGCAGCAUCACCCCAUCCCUGGAAGUCCUCUGCCUGCGCAAGCAGCCCUGGAACUCUCCAGGCAUCUUUCUGCCCCAGACGUGUGGCCACCUCUGUGGCCACCUCGACGGGAGCCGCAUCCCCACGGUCUGCCGGGGCCUGAGCAGGAGCCGCCACGGAAGUUGCUGCAUGGCGCUGACAAACUCUUCACGAGCUGAGGCAGAUGUAGCUCCUGCUUCGGCCGUUCUGUGUUGGCAGCCAGCUAGACCUGACGCGCUUGUGUGCACUGGGAGACCUAAGCGGAACAUUCAGGAAAGUUUUCCUUGGGGAGUUUUGUUAGGGAAUCCAGACCUCACAAGCCUGUCCCAGCAAGUGAAAAAAAAUACAAUGGGAAUUUUUUGGUAAACCCGCAACAUUGCUGAGAGUGUAAUUAGUCUCAAUUUUUCAUGUAAUGAUUGUAUCUGCAAAGAUUGGCAAAAGGCAGGGAGAAGGUUGUCUUUAUGAGUGGGUCAGGAAAGGGGCACUAGUGUGAGACACAGGAGCCAGGUCCCCCCUGCCCCUUUGGGAUUGUGUGAGUUACACUCAUGGCAACAGGGCAGGGUGUCACUCUGUUUUCUUAGCAAUCAGGUAAGUAUCUCACUGGGCUGAGCCUUGGGUUGUAUUUGUGUUAUAUGAGGGGCUGGCUGGCUAAGCCCAAAGGUCUCUGGUAAAACAGAGAAUCUCUGGAGUUCCCACUGUGGUGCAGUGGUUAACGAAUCCGACUAGGAACCAUGAGGUUGCAGGUUCAAUCCCUGGCCUUGCUCAGUGGGUUAAGGAUCCGGCAUUGCUGUGACUGUGGCUGUGGUGUAGGCCGGUGGCUACAGCUCCGAUUCGACCCCUAGCCUGGGAACCUCCAUGUGCCACGGGAGUGGCUCAAGAAAAGGCCAAAAAAAAAAAAAAAAAAAAGAAAAAAAGAAAAAGUAAUAAAUAAAUAAAUAAACCAGAGACUCUCCA
rnacentral:lncRNA from 1 species